rnacentral:rRNA from 1 species
ACGUUAGGAAACGAGGUGACUAAUACGGAUAAGAAAGCGGAUCGCAUGAUCAGCUUUUAAAAGGCGGCGUAAGCUGUCGCUAUGGGAUGGCCCCGCGGUGCAUUAGCUAGUUGGUAAGGUAAAGGCUUACCAAGGCGAUGAUGCAUAGCCGAGUUGAGAGACUGAUCGGCCACAUUGGGACUGAGACACGGCCCAAACUCCUACGGGAGGCAGCAGUC